rnacentral:rRNA from 1 species
AACGUAGGAGACAAACGUUAUCCGGAGUUACUGGGCGUAAAGGGCGUGUAGGUGGUUUCGUAAGUCUGGCGUGAAAUAAUCUCGGCUUAACCGAGGCAGGUCGUCGGAUACUGCGGAACUGGAGGACGGUAGAGGCGUGUGGAAUUCCGGGUGUAGUGGUGAAAUGCGUAGAGAUCCGGAGGAACACCGGUGGCGAAGGCGGGUCUCUGGGCCGUAACUGACGCUGAGGAGCGAAAGCGUGGGGAGCGAACAGG